UUUUUUUUUUUUUGGCCCAUAUGCAGUAAUGCACUCAAGGAUACUCAGCUCUUAAGGCUGGGAAGUGAUCUUCGGCAGAUGAAUGCAAGUGCAGGGCUUGCAGGGGGGCUCUAUGCUUGUGACAUGUGAUGAUAGUAUGUUUCUACUUGGGCAUCGGCAGGAUUUUGAGGGCUCUGAUUGCUGGAAAGUAACCGUGUCUGUACGUCAAAUAAGAAGAUGAGGUCACACUGUGAGAGUGGCUGAAGUCAGUUUAGGAGGAACAGAAGGCUGCUGAGCUUUUCUAUUCUGCUUUUGUUCAGACCUCCUGCUGCUUCUCUGUUCUAAAGGAAGACUGUACCAUCUUGGGAGGUGAGACGAGGAACCACCGUAAAACCACUUAGACCAUAUGUUGACUUUCAGACUUGGCUGAUUACGUCAAUCCAUGCUUCAGCAAAAGUUAGUUGAAAGGGAAGAUGGUUCAACCAGAAACUCCUAAAGGCACCGAGGUCAUACUCAUUCAACCAGCCCGUCACAUGCUUCUGCUGCAAAGCCGAUCCAAGAAAUGCGUUUUUCUUUCCACUUCAAGGUUGCUAAAACUUGACUUUACCCAGAUAACAUAACUGUUUUUUGGAAAUGAAGACAGUCCAAAAACGAACUGUGUGCCCUCUGUAAGUUGUUGUUUUGUUUUGUUUUGUUUUUAGGGCCUCACUCACAGCAUGUGGAAGUUCCCAGGUACAGGUUGAAUCAGAGCUGUAGCUGCCGGUCUACACCACAGCCACAGCCAUGCAGGAUCCAAGCCACAUCUGCGACCUACACCACAGCUCAUGGCAAUGCUGAAUCCUAACCUACUGAGGGAGGCCAGGGUUCGAACCCAUGUUCUCAUAGAUCCUAGGUGGAUUCAAUACCGCUGAGCCACAAUGAGAAGCUCCGUCUCAGGUUUAAUUGGGGAUAAUGAUUGUACCCUCUCAAAGAGUUUUUGAGGGGAUUUGAUGAGAAAACCCAUUUAAGGCACUUAGUAUAGUGCCGAGAACCCAGGAAAACCUUGAUCAAUGGUGAACUGGUAUGGAUAGUUCUACUUUCUUUAAAAAAAAUCUUUAUCAAUUGGUUGUCAUUCUUUGCUCCUGUCCCCCUCUCAGUCUUUGAAAUGUCCUAUUAGCUUGAUUUCAUGAUCAAACCUUUUUACUUCUCUUUAAGGGCAUUUGAGUUGGAGAACAUGGUUAGGAAACUGAACCAGGAUUCCUUCUUCACCGGAGCCACGUUCUAAUUAACUAACUGUCCAACUGUACCGGUAUUAGAAGGAUGAUGAGCAAUGAACUUGGGAAUCCUGGCGCUAGAUCUGUCCGAGCUCUGCUCCGCUUGGUGUAAAUAGCUCUGGGUCUCCAGGGGAGGUGCUAGGGCACCGCACCCCUAAAGGAGGGAGUUGCAAGGUUUUCUCUGCGAAGGGAAAGUAGCCAAAAGAACAUAUCUUACUCUCCCUUCACUGUGGGAACAACACCAGGCACAUUCCAUGGAUAACCAGAGCCAGUGAAAACGAAGCCCACUUAUGGCAUCCCUGGAAUGGCUGAGAAUCUAUCUGCCCUUGAACUUCAUAGAUGGUGAUUCCCAGAAUGACUGGGCAGUAUCCUUAUGAUGUGAGCCACAGGGGAAGUCCAUGCAAUGUCCUUAAAGAAUGGCUGCUGGGUGCUUGACAACAUGGGGACAGCACAGCUGUCCAGAACCAUCAGCCUCUCCCGGAGAAGCUAAGGCCUCCCUGUGGAGAGUAAACCGCAGUAACACAAGGAUACAUGAAUGGACAACUGGGCUUUUAAGGGUCUCUGGGGGUGGAUCAGACCUUUCUCUUAUCCUUGCAAUACUCCUUUUGGAAUCUUUGUCCUUUGGUCAAUGUCUACGAUUACCGUGGAGGCUGGUAGAAUGAAAGGGUCUGGUUCUCUUGCAUGUGCUGGAUAGGAAAGUGGCUUCCAGGAGACUGGAGAUGGAGAGUGAGCUCAGAAAGUGGCCUUGAUUUUUAUCUCCUGGGGGUGGGAGGAGAGGACGAUGAAGAGUAAAUACCACCUCUUAUCGAGAGCUUGCUCUGUGUUAGGUAUUGCACAAAGCACUGGGGAUGCAGUUGCUCCCUUAGUCCUACGGCAAGACAGGGGCUAGGAUCAUGUCCAAUUUUGGGGUGAGGAAACCCAAACCGAAAGAGGUUAGAUAAUUUACUCAGGUCUGCACAGCUAGUGGAGAGUAGAACUGGGUCUAGAACAAGACCCUCUGAUCCCAGAAGCUGUCCUCUUAAAUGACUUUUAAUGGGUCUCGGAGAAACCUUGAACCGAGCCUCUUUCUUCAAGAGCAGCCCCUACGUCUUUGAUGAUGUCCUUGAUGCUAAGUUCCCAAAGGAAAGGGUCCGUGUCUUCUUAGAAUUUAGGAUACCUCCGCCUGGAUGUUGGCUCUCAAGAGAUAACCAAAAAAUGUUUAUCUGUUGAUCCGACUGAACCGCUCAGGUCUAUGUGGCAGUUUCUAACAGCUAGACUCACAAACUAGGUGCUGUGGCUGCCUUACAUUCUUGCAAACAAAAAUACCACACUUCUUUCAAGAUUGGAAUCAAAUUCCAUUCAAUCAAAGAGCAAUCCUUCUCUCCCUCCCUUCCUUCCUUCUUUCCUUCCUUCCUGGCAAGAUGUUGGCAUUAGGAACAUUGUCUUUCUCUCCAUCUAUUUGUCAUUUACCAACAUUCUGUGGUCACGAGCCCCUGACACGGUGCCUGGCACAUGUUUGGACGAAGAUCUAAAACCACAGCUUAAAAAAACUUGUCACCAUGGGAAUGUACCCUUAUCCCUUAAAUAUGUAAAGGGACAGCGUUACCAGCCCCCCAUGUAAUAUGGAGGGGAUGAGGCUGGUUAGCGUAGGUGGUCACACUCAGGAAGGUAUCCUGAAUGUCUCUAGAUACAGAGGUCACUAGUCCUGUAUAUGAUAUGGCUUUUUUGGGUGGGGAGGGGUGUGAGUGUGCGGAAUUGAUUAGUUCUUAAAAGAAUAUAUCUGAUCAACAGAAGAGGGGCUGAUUCUAUCAGGUCGCCUUGGCCGUUGAGGCUUGGCACUUGUUCUUUAAAGAAGAACGAAGAUUAUUAUCCUGAUAUGAAGGUCUGCCAGAGGCCCAAAGUGAAGACAUGUCUUGCCGACAGCCUCAAAGCCCAUGAAGAGGCCUGAGAGACUUGCCCAGCACGGGACAAACACCCCACUGCUUGCUCUUUUGGACAAAGAAAAGGGGUGACACGUGCGUUCCUAGGAGAACGUUGGGGCUUUUAUCGUUAAAGAAAAAAAGCAUUACUGC
rnacentral:lncRNA from 1 species